rnacentral:tRNA from 1 species
GUGGGUAUAGCUCAGUGGUAGAGUGCAUGCUUAGCAUGCAUGAGGUCCUGGGUUCAAUCCCCAGUGCCUCCA